UAAAGGGUGGGAAUAUAAUUUUCCCCAGUAAUUUCCCUACCUGGACUGCUUAGAUGGGUUUGCAGUCAGCGGAGGCUUUCAGUAGGAGUGUGGUGUAGCAACAGAGAAUCUGCUAUUAGAUAUUCUUCAGGGCUUUUUACUUUCACAAGCUCUAGAAAGGGGAGAGUAUACCAGAGCAUGCUCAGGGCAGGUGGAGCUUUCUAAAAUGCCUUUGUUGGAUGUUUAUCUUUUUCAAAGGGAAAAGGAAGAAUUAAUAGGGAUUUUCUGAUGUGUUUUGUAAGGGCUCUCAACAACAGGCAAGCUGUCUUGUUUGUCUUUUUCCUUGUCCUUCCUUUAACUAUCUCUUCUUUCUUUAGCUAUCAACUGGAUUUAAGAUAGUGGGAUUUGUGUACAAUGCUUUGCUGAGUGGCUGUGUACCACGUGAAUCAUCAGCACAUAUAGCCUGCUGGUGUGACUCUGUUGUACAUCACGUUCCUGCUUGCAAAAUCUGUCUGCAGAAGAAAUUUACAAAGAAAGAGUGCUGAUCAGAAAAGGUGCAGGUCUAUAAAAUUCAGUGGGAUACAGACCUAUCCAUUGUCACAAAAGCUUGCACAUCUCUAACUCUGUUUAUAUGAGCAAUCCAUGAGUUUCCAUGGAAUCACUCUUGGAAGUAAAAUUAAGACUAUGUGUGCAUCUCCCUGAGCUGUGUUUAACUUUCCUUAAUUGUCAUGUCCAAAUUAUGAACAUUACUGCAACAGUCAUAUGCAUAAGCAAGGGGAUAUUUUCAGGCGUCUAAGAUGAAACAGGGUAAAUUUUCUUCCUUUCACUCUGAAUAUCUUCUUCUAAACUGUCUGAAAGAGAUCACUGCAUUUCUGGGUAGUAAUAGCGAGGGGAACAAAGCCAGCUCUGAUGCUAUUAUAGUUAGUGGGGGACCGUGGCCAUGCCUGAAGUGGGCAAAACUGUCCCAGGAGGUGACCUGUACAGAUAAGGCAUUUCCUUUAAAUGUCAGCAUAAACUGGCUUUCUAGAAUAAAGGCAUCAUUAUAUUUCUGGAUUGAUAUUUACUUUUAGAAAAUAAGUCUCAAAGGAGAAAGAACAUUUUGGUGUUUUCUUCCCCACUGUUGAAGUCUUAUGUGUAGUAGGUUGCUCAAAGCCACAGAGCCCUUAGGAGUGAGUGGUGACUGUCCCAGCAACACUCUAGGAGGGCCCAAUGUCUUCUUGCCUUUACUAAGUUUGUAAUACAUGUAGGCAAGAGCAGAUAAAUUGUCCAGCCCCUGGGGCUCACCAGUCAUCUGCUACAGACUCCAAAUACUAACGCUGCAUGCAUAUUAUACAACAAAGUGCUCCUAAAUCUCCACUCACUGCUGAUUUGCAUACAUGAAAAACAAAGCAGUGGUAACAAGUCUGGUAGAGUAUCUUAACUGGGAAUGGGGGCCCAGCACACUCAGGACUCUGAGGAGCCAUCUGGUCUCCCAGUGACCACCUACAAAUUCGUGCCCUAGUGAGACAAAAGACAUUUGCACUGGUACCAGCCAUGCUGGGAUUUUCAGACUAGAAAUGAAGCAUGAAGUAAAAUGCACCCAGAGCCUUCAUUAGGUGAAACAAACAGAGGAGUUGGUGUUUUCAGUAAUAAUUGCAAAGGACCUCGCAGUCUGUACGAUCUGCUCCAGGGGGAGUUUUCUCUCAUCCCUGGCAGGAUUACCAAUGCACCCUCUGCUGCAGCAGUGAGUGGAGUGAACAGAUCUCAGAGGGCGGGUGUGGAACUCCAUGGCAUGUUAGGUGUCUCAAAAAUAGGCUCGAAUGUUUUAUUCUCUUUCUGCUUGUCUUUGAUACUAUUUAUGUUAAGGCAAAUCUGGAUGUAUAAUGUUGCCGUAAAUAAUUGAAGAGCCACAGUCCCUGAAAGUGUUUUCUGUAAUGCACUCACAGCCAUUUGGAAUUUCAGUAUGAGAAUUGUUGGAACAACUGCAGCGUCCUUAUUUUAGAUGUGGGAGGAAGAGAGAACACCAAGCAUAGUCCAGCUAGGGAGGAAAAUUGAAAUGUUAUCAGAUUAAAAUGAUGCUGUCCAAGAUCUUCUUCAGUGCCAGAAGUACCUUAGGUACGUUCCCAAGCUAACUUAGAAAAGGGGAACCUAAAAAAAGAGGGAAGAGGUAACUUUACAUCAUGAAUUCACAAGUGUGUUUUGAAGUUCAGAAUAAGAACUACUUUCAAGGUAAUUUGUAGCAGUCCAGCAGCUGCUGUGUCAUACAGUACUCCAUCACUCCUGAGCCAUUGAAACACCUCUGAUGCAAGACAGCAGUGCCCCAGUCCAGACCCUGCUCACGCUCUUCAUUGCUAUUUACACUGUGGUUGCACCUAGGAGCUUUAGCCACGUGUCAUAGACUUACAGUACCAAAUGGAGGUCAAACUAGAAUAGAAAGUCCCAUUUCUAGACUUACAGUUUUUAUAUAUGCCAAGAGACAGCCAAGAGGAGAUGGAGAGACAGAAUUGAGCAAUGCCCAGCUGGGCUAGCACUGUCAUUUGUGCCAUGGUCUGAGUGCAGAAGGAAGCCCCUUACUCCUGGGUAUGUAUCCUCAAAGGCACUGCAGUGAGCUGGUGAAAGAUCUGGUUACCUUGCAGAAGCAGCAAGCAGGGCACUGAUGAACGAUUCUCAGGCUCUGGUUCUCUAGAUACCCCAAGACUGUGGCCAGGAGAUGGAUGCUUUUCCUUCUCCUGGCAUCUCUGCUCCUUCCUAUCUGCAGUGCCCCCCUCACUCUGCCUUUUCUACCUAGGAUGUCAUGUAGCCCUACCUUACUAGGCAUAGAGUACCUGAGUAGGCUAGUUGUCCUGGUCCAGGCUUAAGCUCUUCUUGCAAUGUUGCAGAUUUCUCUAGCAGCACCUUUGCCUGAGUGAUGAGGCUGUGCUCAAGGAUCUUGCACAUUUUCCCCUUUUGCACCAGGGCACAACUCAGAGCUAUGAGUCCCUCAUGCCAUGGAGUGGUCUUUAGCACCAGGAGGUACUGAGCUUACUGCAGAUUUUUGAAAGAGCUUCUUCUGACAAAGAAUUCUUAUUUUUGUGCAAAAUGUUUCCUGCAUUCUCUACUAAAUUUGAUCUUGUUUUCACAAAGAGAAUCUCUAGCCUCUUUAAAUUCGGUUUGUGCUAGAGGAGAAGUGUGAAAUACAUUAAGUGGAUGAAAGAAGCCAAACUAGCAUAGGGAUAGACUGUUCAAGGGACUUAAAUUCUAACUAUAAAUUAUUUAAAACUCUGCAUCUGAAUUUACAAUAUCCAUUUAAAUCAUCCUGUGUAUUCUAUAAUUUGAGGUAAGACUUAGAGAGACAUUCAGCCUGCUGCCCUGUGCUCAGCAGCUCUCUUUCUUUCCUUCUCUUGCUGGUUAAGUACCAGACUGCUUUCUCUUUCCCUCUGAUCAUUCUACAUUUAAAGUUCCCUUUAGGUGGACUUUAAACACUUUGAAUGCGAGUUCACAUUAUUCUCCUGUAAGCAAAAGCCCUCUCCUUUUUUUUUUUUUGAGACUUAUGUGCUUAGCCCAGUGCAGACAGAGAUACAUGAGGAAAGGUACGUAUGUGCUUUAUUCACUCCCCUGCUAAUAUUAAGGCUUGAUUCAAUACCGAGUUGAAGACUGCUGCUGUUUUCCUCAUUUUUCACUCGAGAGGGGAAUGUGGAUACACACAGCCACGCUCAUGGUAUCAUCUUCCUUAUCCCUGUAGUAAAUUGGCCUGGCUCAGAAAAAGAGGCUCUUUUUCCUCAAAUAUGAGUGUUAGGCUUGGGAUCCAAGGCUCUGCUUACUGACUUGGAGAGGUUUUCAGUCUGCUACUGAAAGUGCUAAAUCCUACACUUCCGUUAAGUGGUUGCAGGAAAAACCAUCCCCCAGCCAUGUGGGUUUUAAAACUAUUUUAAUAUAUUUUUAAGUGCUUUAACACUGUCCCUAAUACGUGAUGGGCAAUCUCUAAGCCUGGAUGUCAGACAAAAUAUCAAUAAAAGCCAUUGCUUCUGCUGAAAAGAAAACCUCAUGCGGCUUCUUGUGCAGCCAUUGCAUUUGUAAAUCACUUGGGCACAUGAUCUCUUAGUGGUAUCUUGUUUCCAACUCGCAAAAUGAUGCAAGGUGAUUGGGCUCCACACGCUCACUGCCACUCUCCCCCCUUCCCUUCUCUCUGUGAUUUUCCUUCCCCCUAGUUUCUCUGGCAGAGGAAGCCCAGCUUGCACCAGCCUUUUCCAGCCGAGGGGCAGCAGGCGCAGAGUGGUUUCAUGUGCUCCUUGCUCCUAGAAAAGGCAGGGUCGGUGAUUUGUUCCUGUCUCCAUCAUGGAGAGAGACUUUGGCGGAGGGAAAAAGCAAACCAUCUGCAUUCCCUGGGACAUCAGCGGAGUCAUGGACGAUGAGGAUGAGAAGCAGUUUUGCCCGAAGCAAUGGGAAAAGGAACAAGAUGGCACAAACAACAUCAGCUUCUCACAAGAAUAAUUACACUUCUCCUGAGCAAAAUGAAGAGCAAAAUAAAAACCUGGAAACAACAAAUAAAGGAAGUGAGGAUACAAAUCUUUAUAACAGUGAACAGUAUACAUUUCUUAUCAUAACAGUCUGCCUUUCUUACUGUACUCAGUUUAGUCUCCACUAAAAUAAAUCUUGAAGUAUGCAUUUAUACUUGCAUGUAAAAGUUUCCACCCUCCCUCCAUAACACCACAUUCAAAGUCCACAAAGUCAAGGCUACUAAUAGUUGAAAACAGUAUACCCUAAAGAGAUAUACAAUAAGAUAUGUGUACAAAUGCAAUUUUCUUUUGCAAUCAUGUGCGUAUCCUGCCAGAGGAGGUCAACCCCACUAUGUUUCGAAAUCCAGUGAAGAACAGGCAUGUGAGGUGAAGGUACUGAGGGUACAGUAAGCUUUUCUAACUCUUUUUGUGACUUUUUUCAUGAACAUUUAUAUCACACGCUGAAAUGACAUCAAAUAGAGUUGCUUUUGACUCC